rnacentral:rRNA from 1 species
GUGGGGAAUCUUGCGCAAUGGGCGAAAGCCUGACGCAGCCAUGCCGCGUGAAUGAUGAAGGUCUUAGGAUUGUAAAAUUCUUUCACCGGGGACGAUAAUGACGGUACCCGGAGAAGAAGCUCCGGCUAACUUCGUGCCAGCAGCCGCGGUAAUACGAAGGGGGCUAGCGUUGCUCGGAAUUACUGGGCGUAAAGGGCGCGUAGGCGGACAGCUUAGUCAGAGGUGAAAGCCCAGGGCUCAACCUUGGAAUUGCCUUUGAUACUGGCUGUCUUGAGUUUGGGAGAGGUGAGUGGAACACCGAGUGUAGAGGUGAAAUUCGUAGAUAUUCGGAAGAACACCAGUGGCGAAGGCGACUCACUGGCCCAAUACUGACGCUGAGGCGCGAAAGCGUGGGGAGCAAACAGGAUUAGAAACCCUAGUAGUCC